GAUGAACGCUGGCGGCGUGCCUAAUACAUGCAAGUCGAGCGAAUGGAUUAAGAGCUUGCUCUUAUGAAGUUAGCGGCGGACGGGUGAGUAACACGUGGGUAACCUGCCCAUAAGACUGGGAUAACUCCGGGAAACCGGGGCUAAUACCGGAUAACAUUUUGAACCGCAUGGUUCGAAAUUGAAAGGCGGCUUCGGCUGUCACUUAUGGAUGGACCCGCGUCGCAUUAGCUAGUUGGUGAGGUAACGGCUCACCAAGGCAACGAGGCGUAGCCGACCUGAGAGGGUGAUCGGCCACACUGGGACUGAGACACGGCCCAGACUCCUACGGGGGGCAGCAGUAGGGAAUCUUCCGCAAUGGACGAAAGUCUGACGGAGCAACGCCGCGUGAGUGAUGAAGGCUUUCGGGUCGUAAAACUCUGUUGUUAGGGAAGAACAAGUGCUAGUUGAAUAAGCUGACACCUUGACGGUACCUAACCAGAAAGCCACGGCUAACUACGUGCCAGCCGCCGCCGUAA
rnacentral:rRNA from 1 species